GUGUAGGAGAUUCAGAUUUUGUAUCCUCUGAAUCAUGCGUGGAACACAAGGUCCUUUGAUUAUUGCUUCUCACUACAGAUCAUAGUUGGUUUCAGCAGCCUUUGGCGUAAUGUUGCCAGGUAUCUGAGUCCAUUGUCAGCUGCUCCUUUGACAGGGUAGUUGGCUUUGGACUUUAUGAACGGGGUUUUCCAUCGAUAUGAUUUGAGCAUUUUGUCUGCACUGGAUAUUUGUGUACGCAUACAUACUCCUUAUGCUUGAACUACAAAUACGCAGAGUGCCUACUGAGGUUACAGAACUGGAUAGAAGUUCAUUAUGAUAGUUCAUACAGAGAGUUCAUUAUGAGAGUUCAUACAGAGAGCAUCAGCUAGCCGUUCUCUCUCAAGUCUGUCAGGAUAGGACCGAAGCACACACCGAAGUAACCUGAACCUUAAACAUCCUGCAGAUCGUCGGUCCACUCAAUCUGCUCAUCACGAAGCAGUAAAUCAUUUCCUGCUCAUCAUGAAGUAGCAAACCAGUUCUGUGCUAGACCACCAAUCGCGUGCAUGUACUCAUGGCUCACAAAAAUAUAAAUAGAAGUUGGUAAUAUAGCUUCCUUUUCUAGACCUCCAGAUUCCAUCAACACAUACAUUUGUUGGCUUUUCUUGCCAAGAAAACUGCAGAGAGGUAAAGGCUGGUGAAAAUCGAGACAUGAAGCCUUUUUGUCAGCUAAGUUUAAGUUAUU